rnacentral:rRNA from 1 species
UACGUAGGGGGCAAGCGUUAUCCGGAAUUAUUGGGCGUAAAGAGUGCGUAGGUGGUUUUGUAAGCGCGGGGGUAAAGGCUAUGGCUCAACCAUAGUAAGCCUUGCGAACUGCAAGACUUGAGUGCAGGAGAGGAAAGCGGAAUUCCUAGUGUAGCGGUGAAAUGCGUAGAUAUUAGGAGGAACACCAGUGGCGAAGGCGGACUUUCUGGACUGUAACUGACACUGAGGCACGGAAAGCGUGGG